rnacentral:tRNA from 1 species
GGAAGAGAAUCGUCCCCGGUGGGGCGCCCGGACUUCAAACCCGGUGAGGGGCGUCAGACGUUCCUGGUGGGUUCGACUCCCACUCACUUCCGCCA